AUUUUUCUCUUUAUACUUCCUGAUCAGCAGAAAUUUGUUCUUGCUAAUGACUUGUCUCGUACAAAAGUUAUUAAAGAGGGAUCAGUUAAUGUAUCAACAAAUGGUUGGAAUAAUAUAAGCCUCACUGUCAAAGAGUCUACAGCUGUUGGCAGUGUGAAUGGAGUUCCUUUGUUUACAACAACCAUUCCAUCUAAACCAUCCAAUGGAUUUGUCGCCAUAGGUACAGAUUCUUAUGGCAUAGCAAAUUUUGAUUAUUUUAAAAUGAUGAGCUCCAAGGAUAUUGAUAUUUUAAAACUUAAAACAUCCCAAGAACUCAUAUUUGUAGAAGAUACAAAAUUAUAUUUUAAGCCAAAAAAAAGUCUACCGUAAAUGAUUUCACUGAUGUUCAUUAACUAGCCGAUUGUUAAAUGUGUAAGACUGUGAUAUGUUAAACAAAAUGUUCCAUUGUUUUACUACUGUCAACUGUCCUGCUAGGUAAAAUAUGCGUUUAAUAAUUAUUCGCGAAAUUCCCAAGUACCUAUGCUGAAGAAUUGUUCUCUUAAAAUGAUUACACGCAAUAUAUUAUACUUUAAUAUGUAAUAUAUUGAACUACAUGUACAUACCAACUGCAUAAGAAUGAAAAUUUGUUUGAUUUGACACAACUUUCUACAAAUGUUUUCGUUUCGCAUCAGUGUAUGAUUGUUUAGGAAUAUAUGUAUUUAGAUUUUUGUGUUUUAGUUGAUAAACAAUUUAUGAUGUAAAACCUACGGAGCUUUCCCCUAUAGAAUUUUGUUUUAAAAAACAGACAACAUUUUACGAAAGUAAUAAAUGAAUUCAUGUUAAUGUUUUAAGAAGUUAUAUUUAUUGAUCAAUAUUAAUGAAAAUUAUUCCUAGAAUAUUGCAUUAUUAUUACUCAAUUUGAUUUUAUUUUUUCUAACUAUAUGAUUGAAUAUGUUAAUAAUCAUGAUGUAUUGUGUACGAAAGGAGACUAAUAUCAGCCUGUUUGUAAAACUGCGGCCUGAAUUGGUUCAUUCGGAAAUUAUGCUUGACUCACAAUGUCAGUCAAUAAUUUUCAGAGUUUGUCAUCGAAUCUUAUUUUAUGACAGUAUAUGUCACCAACCCGCUGUGUGAUUGCAUGGGAUAUUUUACACUUGUAUAAACAAAUAUGAUAUUAAGAUAUAU
rnacentral:misc_RNA from 1 species